rnacentral:rRNA from 4 species
GUGAAGUCAUUGAUGCCAUGCUUCCAGGAAAAGCCUCUAAGCUUCAGAUUGUAAGGAAUCGUACCCCAAACCGACACAGGUGGUCGGGUAGAGAAUACCAAGGCGCUUGAGAGAACUCGGGUGAAGGAACUAGGCAAAAUGGUACCGUAACUUCGGGAGAAGGUACGCUCUCGACGGUGAAGUCCCUCGCGGAUGGAGCUAUUGAGAGUCGCAGAUACCAGGUGGCUGCAACUGUUUAUUAAAAACACAGCACUGUGCAAAAUCGUAAGAUGACGUAUACGGUGUGACGCCUGCCCGGUGCCGGAAGGUUAAUUGAUGGGGUUAGACUUCGGUCGAAGCUCUUGAUCGAAGCCCCGGUAAACGGCGGCCGUAACUAUAACGGUCCUAAGGUAGCGAAAUUCCUUGUCGGGUAAGUUCCGACCUGCACGAAUGGCGUAAUGAUGGCCACGCUGUCUCCACCCGAGACUCAGUGAAAUUGAAAUCGCUGUGAAGAUGCAGUGUACCCGCGGCUAGACGGAAAGACCCCGUGAACCUUUACUACAGCUUGGCACUGAACAUUGACCCUACAUGUGUAGGAUAGGUGGGAGGCUUUGAAGCACGUACGCCAGUAUGUGUGGAGCCGUCCUUGAAAUACCACCCUUGUAGUGUUGAUGUUCUAACGUCGACCCCUUAUCGGGGUUGCGGACAGUGCCUGGUGGGUAGUUUGACUGGGGCGGUCUCCUCCCAAAGAGUAACGGAGGAGCACGAAGGUGGGCUAAUCACGGUUGGACAUCGUGAGGUUAGUGCAAUGGCAUAAGCCCGCUUGACUGCGAGAAUGACAAUUCGAGCAGGUGCGAAAGCAGGUCAUAGUGAUCCGGUGGUUCUGAAUGGAAGGGCCAUCGCUCAACGGAUAAAAGGUACUCCGGGGAUAACAGGCUGAUACCGCCCAAGAGUUCAUAUCGACGGCGGUGUUUGGCACCUCGAUGUCGGCUCAUCACAUCCUGGGGCUGAAGUCGGUCCCAAGGGUAUGGCUGUUCGCCAUUUAAAGUGGUACGCGAGCUGGGUUUAGAACGUCGUGAGACAGUUCGGUCCCUAUCUGCCGUGGGCGUUGGAAGAUUGAAGGGGGCUGCUCCUAGUACGAGAGGACCGGAGUGGACGAACCUCUGGUGUUCGGGUUGUGUCGCCAGACGCAUUGCCCGGUAGCUAAGUUCGGAAUCGAUAACCGCUGAAAGCAUCUAAGCGGGAAGCGAGCCCUGAGAUGAGUCUUCCCUGAUACUUUAAGUAUCCUAAAGGGUUGUCGGAGACUACGACGUUGAUAGGUCAGGUGUGUAAGUGCUGUGAGGCAUUGAGCUAACUGAUACUAAUUGCCCGUGAGGCUUAACCAUACAACACCCAAGGGGUUU